rnacentral:rRNA from 1 species
AUGAAAAAUGUAACCCAUUCUUUCGUUUUUUUAGCUCACUGGCCAUCCGCUGGCAGUUUCGGGCUUAAUACCGAUAUUUUAGCAACAAAUCUAAUAAAUCUAACUGUAGUGGUUGGUAGGAUCUUGAGUACUAUUCGAAAUUCAGAAGAAUUCCGUAGAGGGACCAUUGAGCAACUCGAAAAAUCUCGGAUUCGAUUACAGAAAGCAAAUUUGAUUAAUGCUACUUCUAUUAGUUUGGAACAAUUGGAAAAGUCUAAAAACGAAACCCUUUAUUUUGAAAAACAAAGGGCAAUGAAUCAGGUCCGACAGCGGGUUUUCCAAUAG